GCUUCUUUUUGUAACUUCAUAGGGGUGUAAAAGCGUUGACCGUGCGCACAUUUUUAGUAUGAAGCGCUUCCGCGCUUCAUACAAAAUGUACUUCGGUCAACGCUUUUACAUCCCUAUGAAGUUACAACUAGAGGC
rnacentral:sRNA from 1 species